rnacentral:rRNA from 1 species
GAUGAACGCUGGCGGCGUGCCUAAUACAUGCAAGUCGAGCGAACAGACGAGGAGCUUGCUCCUCUGACGUUAGCGGCGGACGGGUGAGUAACACGUGGAUAACCUACCUAUAAGACUGGGAUAACUUCGGGAAACCGGAGCUAAUACCGGAUAAUAUAUUGAACCGCAUGGUUCAAUAGUGAAAGACGGUUUUGCUGUCACUUAUAGAUGGAUCCGCGCCGCAUUAGCUAGUUGGUAAGGUAACGGCUUACCAAGGCAACGAUGCGUAGCCGACCUGAGAGGGUGAUCGACCACACUGGAACUGAGACACGGUCCAGACUCCUACGGGAGGCAGCAGUAGGGAAUCUUACGCAAUGGGCGAAAGCCUGACGGAGCAACGCCGCGGGAGUGAUGAAGGUCUGCGGAUCGUAAAGCUCUGUUAUUAGGGAAGAACAAAUGUGUAAGUAACUAUGCACAUCUUGACGGUACCUAAUCAGAAAGCCACGGCUAACUACGUG